GCCCGAGCCCCGCCCCGCCCCUGCGCCGGCUCCUCAUUGGGCGAGCGGGCCACGGGGUUGCCCCGGCCGCCCGAGAGGGGCGCUGACGGAGGGAGGAGAAGGGGAGAGGAGACCCGGACGCCGCGGACGCGGAGCGAGGGGGAGGCGGGCGGAGGGGGACGGAAAUGGGGGCGGAAAGAGGCGGUGGGAGAAGAGGGGGUGGAGCCGGGGGAGGAGGGAACGUGUGGGAACUUGGGGACUGGGCGAGGUGAGGGCUUGGGCGGGCGUGAGCCCUAGGUGCUGCGCUCUCUGCUUGGGCUCGGAACCCGGCAGGACCAGAACCACAGUCUCCGGGGUCAUCCGUUCCCUCCCCACCCAAAAAGGAAUCGCCACCGGGUUGGAGGCUGAGGCUUAGAAGCUGAUGUCUUCCCUCCGAGGUGGAAUUACAUUUACCAAGCUCAUGGGACUGAUGUGGGAAAUCGGAACGUCAGUGUAUUCACUGAUAACAAGAAAUAUAAUUGCUGAGAAGACUGGAAUACUCUCAUCAGUGUGACCAGCACAUUCUUUCCCGGAGGCAGGUCUAAGUGAAAAGCCAAAUUAUACAAAGAAGGUGGCUUGGUGAGCAUUUGAUCAUUGAGUUCUAUUGAUGAAGAGCCUAAUGCAGGUCUCCAUUGAAUGUCAAUGUCAAACAUUGUACUGGACACUAGGUGGAGAAUGGUGAAUAAGAGAGAUGGGUCUCCGUGCUCACAGGUUCUAAGGCACUGGGGGAAGACAGGCCCUGAACAGUUCCUGGUGUUCAAGGAAAUCUCUGUCAAAACUCCGUGGAGCAUGAGCUAAAGGAACAGAGGCAUCAGCGACUUCAUGUGAGUUUAUGUUCAUUUGCUACAGCAGUGGUAGGAAGCUAACGCAGCGCUCACUGAACGUUAGCUCUGGCCAUGGGGGAGGAACUUCAGCUCCAUGUUACCUGUGGUCAGUGUGUUCAGUAAAUACUGAUCACAAUAAACAUAAUGGAUACGAGAACUCGCCAGAAGCGGUAUAGCAGGAGGUGCACCCUUACAGGUGGUCCCCUGACCCAGCUCUGACCAAUGAGAUGUAAGUGGACAUUUGGGUGGGGAUUCUUGGGAAUCUAUCUUCUUCAUACUAAAAGGUGGGAGAAGUCAGCAAGCCCAAGGCACAAAUUGCCUUGGUUUUCAUCCUCGCCUGGAACAUAGGUGAGGUUUCUGGAAGUGGAGCAGCCAUCUUGUGACUAUGAGGGUGAGUGCCACCUGCUAAGGAUAGCAGAGCCAGAAGACCGAAGAAACUUCUUUGUAAUCGGUCCUCUGUACCAGCCUGGAUUGCCUAGACUUCUUGUCACAUGAGAAAACGAAAGCUUUAUUUGGUCAGAUUUCUGUUCUGUCAACUUCAUACCAUCCUAACUGACAGGUUCUCUGAGAAAAGUCUCUCCUCUGCCCUGUAGGCCUGACAUGUGGCCUUAAUAAGCACCUGUGGUGACUCAAAAAUAGACCAGGGGGAAGAGAAAUUGGCCAUGGCUGUGAUUCUGAACUUGCUGAGCCAUCACCUGUUCAAUCCAUGCUCUGAAGAAGAGUCUGUUAAUUACACUCUCCUUGGCCAGCCAGAGCACAGGAGGCUGCGUCCGUGUGUUCUCAGGGAAGCUCAAAUAUAGCUCAGGCUCCUUCACUGCUUUUGCUGAGUGUGCAGCUUCUGCGUGUCUGGCAGCCCCAGCGAAGAAUGGAGAAGCUUUUCCCGGGAGGUUAGAGUCUGAAGAAGGUGCUAGGAAACAGGGAUGCUGGCAAGGUCUGGCUCAAGGAAACAAGAUCUUCCCUCCCGCCUUCUGCAAGGAGUUAAAGCAAUAUGGAAAAGUACAAAGAAGGAAGUGAGAAAGUCAAGUGAUCAAGGUCAACAGCACGAAGGGGUUUCAUGGUCAGGGAUGAGCUGAGGCUCAGGAAGCAGCCACGAAAACCUGCCUUGCACCCCCUCUCAUUUCUCCACUGUGCUGGAAUCGGACUCUAAAUGGAAGGAGCGAGUCAAGAGGGCCCCAACCUGGCUCCCUCAUCCAGGCAGAAGCUGUCCCUUUAAAAGAGAGAGGAGGCAGAGUUGGCUUACUGCUGCCAGGAGAGGCUGACUGACAGCCAGUGUGCUCCCGGGAGGCCUGAUGUCAUCGCCAGUGAGCAGCAAGGCAUCUGACUGGCAGCAGAAUGAGGAGUCCAGGAGCCUUGGCUGUGACUGCGGGUGGGGGGGGCGGGGGUUCUGCACAGCACCCACCGAGCAGGCAUUUAAAGUUGCAGGAAUUGGGUCCAUCCCAGGCUCUUCAGGGCCCCUCUCUCAGCCUUCCCUAUCAAGCAGGGCUUCUCUCCUCCAUUCUCUCCAUCCUUGGAACGGGGGCAUCCUGCCUGCAAGACCAGACUCCCGUUCCAGCACUGGAACCACCCCCCGAGUGCCAGGUCCGGACCAUACCUGGCUCUCAAGUGCAUGCUCUCCUUCCCUCCUCCCCUCUGAUGAUGAACUUGACACUAUUUUUUUUCUAAUUAUAAAGGUAAUACAGGCAUUGUAAAAAAAAAAAAAAAAAAAAGGAAGGAAGGAAAGAAAGUACCAGUUGACUCUUGUACGUUGCUGAUGCCCACGCAGUUGAAAAUCACAUAUAACUUUUGACUCCCCCAAAACUUAACUGCUAAUAGCCUACUGUUGACUGGAAGCCUUAUUGAUAACAUAAAUGGUUAAUUAACAGUUAUUUUGCAUGUCGUCUGUAUUAUAUACUGGAUUCUGACAAUAAAGUGAGCUGGAGAAAAAGUGUUAUUAAGAAAAUCAUAAAAAAAGAGGAAAUGUACAGUAUGAGACUGUCUAUAUGGGGAAAAAUCUGCAUCUAAGUGCACCCGUGCAGUUCACGGUCAACUGUACAGAACACUGUAAAGAAUAAAGUGAAAAUUAUGCUUAGCCACAA